rnacentral:misc_RNA from 1 species
AAGUCGUAACAAGGUAACCGUAGGUGAACCUGCGGUUGGAUCAUUAAAAAAUGGUAUAGUUUGCAGUUUGGUUGAAUAGUCGCAUGACGAAUUCCUAGGCUGCAAAUUUCCCUCCAACCCUCUGUGCACACUUUAUUGUAUUUUGGGCAAGACUUUUGUUUUGCCCAGUGGAUUAUUAACACCUCUUUAAUUUUGCCUGAAAUUAUUUUAUAAAUAAUAACAACUUUUGACAACGGAUCUCUUGGCUCUC